rnacentral:rRNA from 1 species
AACGAACGCUGGCGGCAUGCCUAACACAUGCAAGUCGAACGAGACCUUCGGGUCUAGUGGCGCACGGGUGCGUAACGCGCGGGAACCUGCCCUUAGGUUCGGAAUAGCUCCCCGAAAGGGGUGCUAAUACCGGAUAAUGUCUUCGGACCAAAGAUUUAUCGCCUUUGGAUGGGCCCGCGUUGGAUUAGCUAGUUGGUAGGGUAAAAGCCUACCAAGGCGACGAUCCAUAGCUGGUCUGAGAGGAUGAUCAGCCACACUGGGACUGAGACACGGCCCAGACUCCUACGGGAAGCAGCAGUGGGGAAUAUUGGACAAUGGGCGAAAGCCUGAUCCAGCAAUGCCGCGUGAGUGAUGAAGGCCUUAGGGUUGCAAAGCUCUUUUACCCGGGAUGAUAAUGACAGUACCGGGAGAAUAAGCUCCGGCUAACUCCGUG